rnacentral:rRNA from 1 species
UACGUAGGGGGGCAAGCGUUGUCCGGAAUCAUUGGGCGUAAAGAGCGCGUAGGCGGCCCGACAAGUCCGCUGUGAAAGUCAGGGGCUCAACCCUUGAAUGCCGGUGGAUACUGUCGGGCUAGAGUCCGGAAGAGGCGAGUGGAAUUCCUGGUGUAGCGGUGAAAUGCGCAGAUAUCAGGAGGAACACCGAUGGCGAAGGCAGCUCGCUGGGACGGUACUGACGCUGAGGCGCGAAAGCGUGGGGAGCAAACAGG